GCAGUCGGAUUGCGGCUUAUUUGACUCAACACUGGAAAUCUCACCAGGCCCGGACACCUUUAGGAUUGACAGAUUGAGAGCUCUUUCUCGAUUGGGUGGGUGGUGGUGCAUGGCCGUUCUUAGUUGGUGGAGUGAUUUGUCUGGUUAAUUCCGAUAACGAACGAGACUCCUUCCUGCUAACUAGCGCUGCCGUCGCGCCUGCGGCAGCGAAGCAUUCUUCUUAGAGGGACUGGCGGCAUCUAGCCGCACGAGAUGGAGCAAUAACAGGUCUGUGAUGCCCUUAGAUGUUCUGGGCUGCACGCGUGUUACACUGAAGGGCUCAGCGUGUCCUUCCCUGGCCGAGAGGCCCGGGUAACCCGCUGAACCCCCUUCGUGGUAGGGAUCGGAGCUUGCAAUUAUUCUCCGUGAACCAGGAAUGCCCAGUAAGCGCAAGUCAUAAGCUUGCGUUGAUUACGUCCCUGCCCUUUGUACACACCGCCCGUCGCUACUACCGAUUGAACGUUUUAGUGAGGUAUUUGGACUGGGCCUCUGCGGGUUUGCGCCUGCAGUGUUGCUCGGGAAGACUCCCAAACUUGAGCGUUUAGAGGAAGUAAAAGUCGUAACAAGGUUACCGUAGGUG
rnacentral:rRNA from 1 species